UACGUAGGGGGCAAGCGUUGUCCGGAUUUAUUGGGCGUAAAGAGCGUGUAGGCGGCCAGGUAGGUCCGUUGUGAAAACUCGAGGCUCAACCUCGAGACGUCGAUGGAAACCAUCUGGCUAGAGUCCGGAAGAGGAGAGUGGAAUUCCUGGUGUAGCGGUGAAAUGCGCAGAUAUCAGGAAGAACACCCGUGGCGAAGGCGGCUCUCUGGACGGUACUGACGCUGAGACGCGAAAGCGUGGGGAGCGAACAGG
rnacentral:rRNA from 1 species